rnacentral:tRNA from 1 species
GGUGGGUUGGCCGAGAGGCGAGGCAGCGGCCUGCAAAGCCGUAUACACGGGUUCGAGUCCCGUACCCACCU